rnacentral:rRNA from 1 species
CGACGGGUGAGUAACGCGUGGGUAACCUGCCCUGUACAGGGGGAUAACAGUUGGAAACGGCUGCUAAAACCGCAUAACAUGGAGAUACCGCAUGAUAUUUCCAUCAAAUAUUUAUAGGUACAGGAUGGGCCCGCGUCUGAUUAGCCAGUUGGCAGGGUAAUGGCCUACCAAAGCGACGAUCAGUAGCCGGCUUGAGAGAGUGACCGGCCACAUUGGGACUGAGACACGGCCCAAACUCCUACGGGAGGCAGCAG